rnacentral:rRNA from 1 species
UACAGAGGGUGCAAGCGUUGCUCGGAAUUAUUGGGCGUAAAGGGUAGGUAGGUGGUCUCAUUUGUCUCAUGUGAAAUCCUUGGGCUUAACCCAAGAAGUGCGUGAGAAACGGUGAGACUGGAGUCCUGGAGAGGGUCGUGGGAAUUCCCGGUGUAGCGGUGAAAUGCGUAGAGGAUCGGAAGGAACACCAGAGCGAAGGCG